rfam:Variovorax paradoxus strain TBEA6 VPARA_contig000020, whole genome shotgun sequence.
GCGAGGGCGACCGAGUGUGGAGAGGAAGCGUGGAGCGAAGCUGCGAGCCGAUGGACAAGAACUGGAUAGAAGGCGACGCCGAGCAGGGCGAGCGGGGACGUAACCGCGAAGCUCUCGUGAUCAAGGCUCAGGCGGUGUAGAUCCGGCGGUUGUGCGGCGAAGGAGUGCGUUC